GAGCCCAGAUAACAUCAUCUUUGUGAUGGAUGCUUCAAUAGGUCAGGCUUGUGAUGUUCAGGCACGAGCUUUUAAAGAGAAAGUAGAUGUAGGAGCUGUGAUUGUCACAAAAUUAGAUGGACAUGCUAAAGGAGGUGGAGCUCUUAGUGCGGUAGCAGCAAC